GGACGAACGCUGGCGGCGUGCCUAACACAUGCAAGUCGAACGGGGUGAUUCCUUCGGGGAUCACUUAGUGGCGAACGGGUGAGUAACGCGUGAGAAACCUGCCUUUCAGUGGGGGACAACAGUUGGAAACGACUGCUAAUACCGCAUAAUGUUAUCGAGCGGCAUCGCUUGAUAACCAAAGCUUUAUGUGCUGAAAGAUGGUCUCGCGUCUGAUUAGCUAGUUGGUGAGGUAACGGCUCACCAAGGCGACGAUCAGUAGCCGGUCUGAGAGGAUGAACGGCCACAUUGGGACUGAGAUACGGCCCAGACUCCUACGGGAGGCAGCAGUGGGGAAUAUUGGGCAAUGGGGGAAACCCUGACCCAGCAACGCCGCGUGAAGGAAGAAGGCCUUCGGGUUGUAAACUUCUUUUACCAGGGACGAAGAACGUGACGGUACCUGGAGAAAAAGCAACGGCUAACUACGUG
rnacentral:rRNA from 1 species